GCUGCUAAGUUUCUUCAUCUACUUGUGACAUUACUCUUUUUCUCUUAUCUAAUCCCCUUGAAUGCUAUUCCAACGUCUAGUAAAAUCGUCGAAACUUCUUUGUUUUUUGAAUACAUAAAUUUUAUGUCAAAACUAUAUACCCUUGUUUGGAUUUUAAGAAUUAUUUAUUUAUUUAUUUAUUUUUUAAUUAUAGGGACUUUACUCAUGUUACAAGGAAGUCAAGAUAUUCAAGCACCAAAGGAGUACACUUCACAGGCAUAAUUACCACUUGAUAUUGAAAUUUUGAAUAGAGAAAACAGCUUAUUUCGGUUUUUAUUAAUAUUUCUAACAUUUUCUCUAAUAAAACAGGUGACAAUAGAAGAUAAUGUCGAAAGAACUAUGGAAAUGGCAGGCGACAAUAACAUUAAUCCAACGAUGGAUUUCGAAAGCAAUGACUAUCCGGGAUCACAAGCGAAUAACCGCCAUACUCCGAGGCCACCGGUUAAAGACUAAGUUCUUACGAAGUCCAGUGUGAUGUAUGCCCAAGAAACCUUACUGAAGAGAUGUUUCUUGUUUAAGCC
rnacentral:lncRNA from 1 species